GACGAACGCUGGCGGCGUGCUUAACACAUGCAAGUCGAACGGAAAGGCCCUGCUUUUGUGGGGUGCUCGUGUGGCGAACGGGUGAGUAACACGUGAGUAACCUGCCCUUGACUUUGGGAUAACUUCAGGAAACUGGGGCUAAUACCGGAUAGGAGCUCCUGCUGCAUGGUGGGGGUUGGAAAGUUUCGGCGGUUGGGGAUGGACUCGCGGCUUAUCAGCUUGUUGGGGAGGUAGUGGCUUACCAAGGCUUUGACGGGUAGCCGGCCUGGGAGGGUGACCGGCGACAUUGGGACUGAGAUACGGAGCAGACUGCUACGGUAGGCAGCAGUGGGGAAUAUUGCACAAUGGGCGGAAGCCUGAGGCAGCAACGCCGCGUGCGGGAUGACGGCUUUCGGGUUGUAAACCGCUUUCGCCUUUGACGAAGCGGUAGUGACGGUAAUGGGUAAAGAAGCACCGGCUAACUACGUG
rnacentral:rRNA from 1 species